rnacentral:hammerhead_ribozyme from 1 species
AUCCAGCCGGUGAGUCCCAAAUAGGACGAAACAUGCGUUCUGGAU